UACAGAGGGUGCGAGCGUUAAUCGGAAUUACUGGGCGUAAAGGGCGCGUAGGCGGCCUGCUAAGUCGAACGUGAAAUCCCCGGGCUCAACCCGGGAACUGCGUCCGAUACUGGCAGGCUUGAAUCCGGGAGAGGGAUGUGGAAUUCCAGGUGUAGCGGUGAAAUGCGUAGAUAUCUGGAGGAACACCGGUGGCGAAGGCGGCAUCCUGGACCGGUAUUGACGCUGAUGCGCGAAAGCCAGGGGAGCAAACGGG
rnacentral:rRNA from 1 species